AACGAACGCUGGCGGCAUGCCUAACACAUGCAAGUCGAACGAGACCUUCGGGUCUAGUGGCGCACGGGUGCGUAACGCGUGGGAACCUGCCCUUAGGUUCGGAAUAACUCCCCGAAAGGGGUGCUAAUACCGGAUAAUGUCUUCGGACCAAAGAUUUAUGGCCUUUGGAUGGGCCCGCGUUGGAUUAGCUAGUUGGUAGGGUAAAAGCCUACCAAGGCGACGAUCCAUAGCUGGUCUGAGAGGAUGAUCAGCCACACUGGGACUGAGACACGGCCCAGACUCCUACGGGAGGCAGCAGUGGGGAAUAUUGGACAAUGGGCGAAAGCCUGAUCCAGCAAUGCCGCGUGAGUGAUGAAGGCCUUAGGGUUGUAAAGCUCUUUUACCCGGGAUGAUAAUGACAGUACCGGGAGAAUAAGCGCCGGCUAACUCCGUG
rnacentral:rRNA from 1 species